GACGGGGCCCGCACAAGCGGUGGAGCAUGUGGUUUAAUUCGAAGCAACGCGAAGAACCUUACCAGGCCUUGACAUGCAGAGAACUUUCCAGAGAUGGAUUGGUGCCUUCGGGAACUCUGACACAGGUGCUGCAUGGCUGUCGUCAGCUCGCGUCGUGAGAUGUUGGGUUAAGUCCCGUAACGAGCGCAACCCUUGUCCUUAGUUACCAGCACGUUAUGGUGGGCACUCUAAGGAGACUGCCGGUGCAAACCGGAGGAAGGUGGGGAUGACGUCGAGUCAUCAUGGCCCUUACGGCCUGGGCUACACACGUGCUACAAUGGUCGGUACAAAGGGUUGCCAAGCCGCGAGGUGGAGCUAAUCCCAUAAAACCGAUCGUAGUCCGGAUCGCAGUCUGCAACUCGACUGCGUGAAGUCGGAAUCGCUAGUAAUCGUGAAUCAGAAUGUCACGGUGAAUACGUUCCCGGGCCUU
rnacentral:rRNA from 1 species